rnacentral:rRNA from 1 species
CCUACGGGAGGCAGCAGUAGGGAGUCUUCCACAAUGGGCGCAAGCCUGAUGGAGCAACACCGCGUGAGUGAAGAAGGGUUUAGGCUCGUAAAGCUCUGUUGUUAAAGAAGAACACGUAUGAGAUUAACUGUUCAUACGUUGACGUUAUUUAACCAGAAAGUCACGGCUAACUACGUGCCAGCAGCCGCGGUAAUACGGUAGGUGACAAGCGUUAUCCGGAUUUAUUGGGCGUAAAGAGAGUGCAGGCGGUUUUCUAAGUCUGAUGUGAAAGCCUUCGGCUUAACCGGAGAAGUGCAUCGGAAACUGGAUAACUUGAGUGCAGAAGAGGGUAGUGGAACUCCAUGAGUAGCGGUGGAAUACGUAGAUAUAUGGAAGAACUCCAGUGGCGAAGGCGGCUACCUGGUCUGCAACUGACACUGAGACUCGAAAGCAUGGGUAGCGAACAGGAUUAGAUACCCUGGUAGUCCAUGCCGUNAACGAUGAGUGCUAGGUGUUGGAGGGUUNCCGCCCUUAGUGCCGGAGCUAAAACGNAUUAAGCACUCCGCUUGGGGAGUACGACCG